UGGGGGAUCUUCCACAAUGGGCGAAAGCCUGAUGGAGCAACGCCGCGUGUGUGAUGAAGGGUUUCGGCUCGUAAAACACUGUUGUAAGAGAAGAAUGACAUUGAGAGUAACUGUUCAAUGUGUGACGGUAUCUUACCAGAAAGGAACGGCUAAAUACGUGACAG
rnacentral:rRNA from 1 species